CCUACGGGGUGCAGCAGUGGGGAAUAUUGGACAAUGGGCGAAAGCCUGAUCCAGCCAUGCCGCGUGUGUGAAGAAGGCCUUCGGGUUGUAAAGCACUUUCAGUGGGGAAGAAAGCCUUGGGGCUAAUACCCUCGAGGAAGGACAUCACCCACAGAAGAAGCACCGGCUAACUCCGUGCCAGCAGCCGCGGUAAUACGGAGGGUGCGAGCGUUAAUCGGAAUUACUGGGCGUAAAGCGCGCGUAGGCGGUCUGAUAAGCCGGUUGUGAAAGCCCCGGGCUCAACCUGGGAACGGCAUCCGGAACUGUCAGGCUAGAGUGCAGGAGAGGAAGGUAGAAUUCCCGGUGUAGCAGUGAAAUGCGUAGAGAUCGGGAGGAAUACCAGUGGCGAAGGCGGCCUUCUGGACUGACACUGACGCUGAGGUGCGAAAGCGUGGGUAGCAAACAGGAUUAGAUACCCGAGUAGUC
rnacentral:rRNA from 1 species